GGGAUAACCAGUGCGACAAUAUGGCCGACACAUCAUGAUUGCAAAUGACCAAAACUUCGUAUGAGAACUGCAUCUAACUAAUUUCUAAAGAUGACGGAAAUUCUUUGUAGAUGGCUCAAUGAUGAGCUAUCGGUAUCUCAGAAAGUCGAUCAAAAGUCAUUUGCUCAAGAGUUUUCGUCUGGAUUUUUGAUUGGGGAGGUCUUGAAUAAGUACCAAUUACAAGAUGAUUUUGAUCAGUUUUCCCAAAACAAAACAGCAGAUUCAAAG